rnacentral:lncRNA from 1 species
GUGCUGACUCUAGAUGUAGUUGGGGGUUCAGAGAAGGGAGAAGUCAGUGUAGGCUACUAGUGAAACCUGCAAGGAGAAGAGGUCAGAAUUAAGUAUUGAAGAUAUUAAUGUUUUGUAUCUGGAUGAAGGGAAGAGAGUAUUUUGGGCAAAGAGAACAAAAGCAGGGUCAGAGACAUGUGAGUGAACCUGUAUGCAGUCUUGGGGUGAGGCAGUUCACACUCCAAUCUAGGGGGUAGUUCAGAGCUUUUUCUGCAUUUCAACCCCCAAGGGCAAAAAGGCUCCGCAGUCUCAGUUAGGAUUCCUGCUGGAAUUUCUCAUGGGAGGAGGAAAGGGAUUGUAUGUAGAAAUAG